UUUUGUUUUAUUUUCAGUUUUUAAAUAUUUGAUUAAAUAAAUAAUUUACACUUUCCAUGGGGAGUUCUUGAUAUCCAUCUAUAAGAAGAGGGUGCUGGAACUCCCUAAAUCAGGGUUCUCAAUUAACUUUUCCCAUGGAACCCUUUGACAUAGUGUAUCAACAUCGUGGAACCCCUACCCCCCCCACGAAAAAAAAGUUUUUUUUAAUGUGCAGGUGUGUGUGUAUGUGCCAGUGUGUAUGAAUCUGACACACAGAUACACACACUGGCAAAUAGUGGCACACAGAUACACACACUGACAGAUACACACACCUUGACACACAGUGUGUAUCUGUGUGUGUGUAUGUAUCUAUCUGUGUGUCAAGGUGUGUGUAUUUGUGUUUGUAUGUGCCAGUGUGUAUGAAUCUCACACACAGAUACACACUGGCAGAUAGUGGCACACAGAUACACACACUGAAACAGAUGCACACACCUUGACACACAGUGUGAAUCUGUGUGUAUUUGUAUGUAUGUAUCUAUCUGUGUGUCAAGGUGUGUGCGUCUGUUUCAAAGUCUGUGAAUCUGUGUUUGUAUGUGCCAGUGUGUAUGUAUCUGACACACAGAUACACACACUGGCAGAUAGUGGCACACAGAUACACACACCUUGACACACAGUGUGUAUCUGUGUAUGUAUGUAUCUGUGUGUCACGGUGUGUGUAUCUGUGUUUGCAUGUGCCGGUGUGUGUCAAGGUGUGUAUAUCUGUGUUUGUAUGAGCCAGUGUGUGUAUCUCUGUGUCAGUGUGUAUCCGUAUCUGACACACAGGUAUACACACACACAGAUACACACACCUUGACUCACAAAUACACACCCACAGAUACACACUGACACACUCAGGUACACACAGUGACAUACACACACUUGCACCCACAGAUACACACUGACACACUCAUAUACACACACAGGCACAUACAAACACACUGAUACAUACUGGCACAUACACACACUUAGAUGCACCCAUGGACACAUACACAAACCUUGACACAGAUACAUACACAGACACACACUCUUUGACAGUGUCAGAGUAUUUAUAUCGGCAGACAUCUUGUGCUAUGAUAGAAAUUAAAAGUGUAUAUGCUAAGUCACUCUAAACAGAGCAGACUCCAUUUUGUUAUUUUGAAGCUAACAAAAGAAACAAGAUUUCUAUCUGUAAAACUAACCACUUUCCCAGAGCUAAAGGAAUGCAUAGUAUAUACAAACCAAGUGAUAAGGAGAAUGGGGGUUGGACAGACUGUCUAAAUGCUAAUGGGAUAUAAUCAAUUCUAAACCCAGACAUUUGUGACAGAGAAGAUUAAAUAAUUUAAUUUUACUUUUUAUAUUGUAUAACCUCCCAUUGUAGUUUAAGGUGAAACUUCGUUUACAAACUGUCAUAUUAGAAAUUAUAGCAGGAAUUGCAGACACU